rnacentral:rRNA from 1 species
UACGAAGGGGGCUAGCGUUGCUCGGAAUCACUGGGCGUAAAGCGCACGUAGGCGGCUUUCUAAGUCAGGGGUGAAAUCCUGGAGCUCAACUCCAGAACUGCCUUUGAUACUGGAGAGCUCGAGUCCGGAAGAGGUGAGUGGAACUCCGAGUGUAGAGGUGAAAUUCGUAGAUAUUCGCAAGAACACCAGUGGCGAAGGCGGCUCACUGGCCCGAUACUGACGCUGAGGCACGAAAGCGUGGGGAGCAAACAGGA